rnacentral:rRNA from 1 species
GGAUUAGAUACCCUAUUAUUUUAAAUGUAAAAUCUUAAGGCUUGAAUAGUAUUAGUUAAGAUCUUUAAACUUAAAGAAUUUGGCGGUAUUUUAGUCUAUUUAGAGGAAUCUGUCCCGUAAUCGAUAACCCACGUUGAACCUAACUUAAUUUAUAAGUAUGUAUACCGCCGUUUAUUGAAUAUUUUUUUAGGAGAUUUUCUUAGUAUAAGGAUAUAUACAUAUUAUUUCAGGUCAAGGUGCAGCAUGUAGUUAAGGGGAGAUGGAUUACAAUAUUUUAAAGUAUAACGGAUUAUAGAAUUGGAAUUUUUAUAUAAAGGUGGAUUUAAUAGUAAUUUUUUGUAGAUUAUAAAGAUGAUUUUAGCUCUAAAGUGUGUACACAUCGCCCGUCACUCUCGUUAAAAUUUAAAAUGAGAUAAGUC